rnacentral:lncRNA from 10 species
CUGAGGCUUAGGAAGACCUAGUUAAGAAAGAAAACAUAAUACAUGUCUGGCUGUGAGAUCACACGACAUCGGAUAGUUUUCAAAUUCAGCCCUUGACAACGAGCUCAUAGAUGCGGUGGUGCUUUGUUAACCUGAAAAGGACCCUCAGCGCCGGAAGUUAGCCGUCUUUCUCCAUCCUGACUACUACAGUAGCCCUCCCAGAAAUCGUCCCAAAAUUGUCUGAUAGAAAGGCUGCACGGAAACAACCCGCCACGGACAGCGGACCGAGAACAGUGACGCGACGCGA